GGAAUUUUGGUAACUAAGUGUACUAGUAAUUAAUAGAAGGGGUAAAAGGGUAAAAUUAAAAUUGAUUGUGCAAUUAAAUAAAGGAAAGAGCGAAACGUCGGGAAGGAACGCAUAGGGUUAAAACGGUCGAAGUUCUGGGAAGCUGUCGGGAUUGCACAUUCACCAGAGACGAAACCGAGAGCUCAAGCGACGACUAGUUGAAGCGGUGGGAGAGAGUACACAACCGGGAGCUAUGGCGGACGGAACCCCGAGAAGAAGUCAAUGGCGAGCAUCUGUUGAGGCAACGACCAAACUCCCAAAGAAUCGGACAACCAAGAAGCCACACGAGCGGAAUGGGUGUGAUUUAGCAUAGGGGGUUUUGGAGCCAUGUUGAAAAAUGUGGAAACAUAUGUUUUUGGAUAUAAAUUUAUUUUUUGUUGUGCGGUCGGUUGAUAGACUAUUAAGCUACAUAUUUUGGUAAUUAUGCUUCUAUAUUAUUUGACAGAAUUACAAAUUAGAUUCUAUGCAAGGCAAUUGUUGAUGAUAAUGAAGCGGGUUUUAUGUUA